GAUGAACGCUGGCGGCGUGCCUAAUACAUGCAAGUCGAGCGAACAGACGAGGAGCUUGCUCCUCUGACGUUAGCGGCGGACGGGCGAGUAACACGUGGAUAACCUACCUAUAAGACUGGGAUAACUUCGUGAAACCGGAGCUAAUACCGGAUAACAUGUUGAACCGCAUGGUUCAACAGUGAAAGACGGUUUUGCUGUCACUUAUAGCUGGAUCCGCGCCGCAUUAGCUAGUUGGUAAGGUAACGGCUUACCAAGGCAACGAUGCGUAGCCGACCUGAGAGGGUGAUCGGCCACACUGGAACUGAGACACGGUCCAGACUCCUACGGGAGGCAGCAGUAGGGAAUCUUCCGCAAUGGGCGAAAGCCUGACGGAGCAACGCCGCGUGAGUGAAGAAGGUCUUCGGAUCGUAAAACUCUGUUAUUAGGGAAGAGAAAAUGUGUAAGUAACUAUGCACGUCUUGACGGUACCUAAUCAGAAAGCCACGGCUAACUACGUG
rnacentral:rRNA from 1 species